GAUGAACGUUAGCUACAGGCUUAACACAUGCAAGUCGAGGGGUAACGAGAGGAAAGCUUGCUUUCCUUGUCGACGACCGGCGCACGGGUGAGUAACGCGUAUCCAACCUGCCCCCAACUAGGGAAUAACCUUGCGAAAGUAAGACUAAUACCCUAUAAUUUCCUCAGAUGCCAUCUGACGAGGAAUAAAGAUUUAUCGGUUGUGGAUGGGGACGCGUCUGAUUAGCUUGUUGGCGGGGUAACGGCCCACCAAGGCAACGAUCAGUAGGGGUUCUGAGAGGAAGGUCCCCCACAUUGGAACUGAGACACGGUCCAAACUCCUACGGGAGGCAGCAGUGAGGAAUAUUGGUCAAUGGGCGGAAGCCUGAACCAGCCAAGUAGCGUGCAGGAUGACGGCCCUAUGGGUUGUAAACUGCUUUUAUACAGGAAUAAAGUUAGCCACGUGUGGUUAUUUGUAGGUACUGUAUGAAUAAGGACCGGCUAAUUCCGUGCCAGCAGCCGCCGUAA
rnacentral:rRNA from 1 species